CCAGGGGUUACCAGGUUCAGGUUGCUGGCCCCAUUUAACCCACUACCUCUGCUCCAAGGAAGUGGUCCAGGCCCAGCCAAUCAGUAUAUUUUACCCUCUGGAAAAGUAUGGAACUGUCCAGAAAUGGGCAUGUGGCCCAACUGGGGUCCAUGGGAUUCGGUUACAUUACAUUCAGGGACUGUUGUGGCACUGCUGAGAGAAAGAGGUAGGCCUGGAGCUGCUGAUCAUUACCUGGCCUCCAUGGGGACACCUGCUGGAGGACAGAGCCAGUCCAGAGGAACAGCAACUGAGAGAAGAAGAGAGUGAGACCAAGUCCUGAGGACAUGGUGUGAACCUGUGGAUGAGCAGCCAGUUGUGCUUACACCCUGGAGAUAACAGUUGUGUCAAUAACUGAGAGAAGAACCAAUGAUGUCUCAGAAUCAACCUAGGAAGAAUGAGGUGGUAGCCUUUGCUGAAGGAACAAGUAGAACUAAAGGAAGCUUAAAACAAUCUGCCUUUACCCUACCUGCUGUGUAAUCAGGUAUGUUGAAAGGAGCCUACAAAUUCCUCUAUCAACUGGCAAAUGAUUGUGCGAAAGGAGCAGAGAGAAGAGUCUGUCUCAAUAUGAAGAGAUAAAAUUUCCAUAGUUAUCUAUUAGUGGAAAUGGACAUCUCUGAAAGGAGCUCUUUGUCCUCAGAGGAGUUCAAAUGGAAGACAUGUGUGCUCUGCAGGGAACACUGGAGAAAAGAAAGGUAAUACAUAACUGAUAAUUGAAUAGAUCUCCAAUUCUGCAAAUCUUGGGACAAGCCAAAGGAAAUUCUGAUAUCUUAAGUUCACAGUUUGAUCUAUGCACAUGCUAUGGUUUGGCUCUGUGUCCUCACCCAAAUCACAUGUCACAUUGUUAAUUCCCAUUGUUGGGGGAGGGACCUGAUGGGAGGUGAUUGGCUCAUGGGGGCAGAUUUCCCCCUGGCUGUUCUCCUGAUAGUGAGUGCUCAUGGGAUCUGGUUAAGAGUGUAGCACUUCCCCCUUAGCUCUCUCUCCUGCUCCACCUUAGUAAGACAUGUUUGCUUCCCCUUCAUUUUCUGCCAUGAUUGUAAGUUAACUGAGGCCUCUCAGCCAUGCUUCCUGUACAGUCUGUGGGCCUGUGAAUCAAUAAAACCUCGUUUCUUCCUAAAUUACCCGGUCUCAGGAAGUUCUUGAUAGCAGUGUGAAAACGGACUAACAUAGUACAAUCUUUGUGGUGGCAAAUGUGAAACAGGAGAAAUCUGACACUUCAGCAGGGAUAAGCCCCUUUCCAACACUUCAACAAUUGAUUGAUAUAUCCAACAGCAUAUCCACCUUGGCUUACCACCCCAGCACUGAGCAGAGCUCUUGGCAAAGUGAGCAUGCCGUAAAUACUUGUUAAAUGAUUGAAUAAAUUGAAUAAAUA
rnacentral:lncRNA from 10 species